UCAAGUUGCCCCCGGUUCAUGAGGUAUUGCGCACCUCUUUGUUUGGAAGCAGUGUGAUACACCAAUAAGGGAUCGCGCAUUGGCGCUCGAAGGUACUCGGGUCGCGUGUACCUUGUUCCAGCCCCGAAAAGUGCCGGAAAAGUGCCGAAAAGUGCUUCUUUAACGCCUCCCACAUCUUUGGCUUGAAGUGUGGUCCUUGCUUGUCGAUGAGAGGGCGCCUGGCGCCUUGUGGUGUCGCCUGCUACGCGGUAUACGCAGGGUGCAGCGACGAUUAGCGUCACCGAAUUCGGAAACAAAUUCUAUGUCGAUCCGGUCGUUGAAGAAGGAGGAAAGGACUCAUACAGAGGCUCUCCGCCGUAGAGCACAUGAAAGAACAUAUUCAUAAAAGAACCUCUGCCAUCGACACCACUCGACUUUCUUCAGCGACUACCAGACGAACAGUGCAAUUUUUGCAUUCCAUCGGAAUAAUCACACGCCGUAGCUCCUAGACUUGACAAGGCAAGGAGGUGUAAUCUCGUCUCCUGUCCCUCUGGCGGCGAAUCCUGCAAACGAGCAAAUAUUUCACGAAGAAGUAAGAGAGUCUGACCCAUCACUGGAAAACAGGUGACAAAAGACACGAAUAAGUGUGAAAUUAAUACCAAGGAGUUCGCAAGCACUCUGGUACCUAGGUAAUAAACAUCGAACACGGAAGCGAAAACGGGAGACGGGAAAAAACAGCCGACACUCGCUGAGCGAAGUCUCAGCAAUCCCAUUCAAUUGUGGGGACAGGCGAGGCCAACGCUCCCGUCGAUACCAGACAGAAAAUACCGAAUCAAUCCCGAAGAUAACAUCCAGACAGAUGGGCAGCGUCAGCUAAGAUACUGAAAAACAGGAGGUGGCAAACCAGCUGCGGAUAGAGAAGGCUCGAUCUGGUCGCGGUAAACUGGCGCUGACGUGACACCCCAGCAUGGAACUCGAGGCUCUGAUGGAGACUGGCGCCAGCCUGGGCCUGACCGGGGACGACCUCAGACGCUGGAUCGACGAGGAGCGCAGGGCGGACCGCGAGCAGAGGACGGCCGCCGAUAGGUACCGGACCGCGCAAAUGGAUUCGCAGGCCAGGGAGAAGAUGGAGAAGGAGCGUCACUCACUCGAGCUGCAGGAGCGACUGCGCCAGGUUGGCGCACUCCCCGAGUCCUCGUUCCCCAUCAUAGCGCAUAACAUUCCUCAGGGAGAGACUGGUGCCUACGGUUACAAGU